UCUGGUUGAUCCUGCCAGUAGUCAUAUGCUUGUCUCAAAGAUUAAGCCAUGCACGUCUAAGGAUAAAUAUUUUUAACCAUAAACCUGCGAAAGGCUCAUUAAAUCAGUAAUAAUCUAUUCUAUUAUUUAAAUUCUAUUUGGAUAACUGUAGUAAUUCUAGAGCUAAUACAUGCAAAAAACCUGAACUUUACAGAACGGGUGUACUUAUUAGAUAUUAAAACCGAUUACAAUACUUAAAAUGAUUUAAAAUAAGUUUAUGAAUCGCAGAUCAUUUUGUGAUGAUAAGAAUGAAUUUCUGCCCUAUCAACUUUCGAUGGUAAUGUAGAGGAUUACCAUGGUGAUGACGGGUAACGGGGAAUUAGGGUUUGAUUCCGGAGGAAAGGCCUGAGAGACGGCCAUUACUUCUAAGGAAGGCAGCAGGCGCGUAAAUUACCCAAUCCUAAUACGGGGAGGUAGUGACAAGAAAUAUUGAUAUUGGACCCAAAGGGUACAAUGAUUGAAAUGAGAACAAUAUAAAAAACUUAACGACUAACAAUUGGAGGGCAAGUCUGGUGCCAGCAGCCGCGGUAAUUCCAGCUCCAAGAGUGUAUAUUAAAGUUGUUGCGGUUAAAAAGCUCGUAGUUGAAUUUCUGAAAAUAAAUUUGUGAUUGAUUUAACCGUCUUGAUCAAAAAUUAUUAUCAUACUUGGUGAGUGGAAACAUUUACCUUAAUUACUUUGAAAAAAUUAGAGUGUUCAAAGCAAGAUUCACAUCUGAAUAAUACAGCAUGGGAUAAUAUAAUAUGACAUUAGUUAAAAUUUGUUGGUUUCUUUGGCUAAUGUAAUGAUUAAAAGGGACAGUUGGGGUAAUUUAUAUUGGUCGGGGAGGGGUGAAAUCCUAUGAUCCUUCCAAGAUAAACUAGUGCGAAAGCAUUUUACCAGGAUGUUUUCAUUAAUCAAGAACGAAAGUUGGGGGAUCGAAGAUGAUCAGAUACCGUCGUAGUCUCAACCAUAAACUAUGUCGACUAAGGAUGAUAAAAUAUUAAAUGAAUGAUUUUUGUCGCACUUUACAAGAAAUUAUAAGUAUUCAGACUCCGGGGGGAGUAUGGUCGCAAGGCUGAAACUUAAAGGAAUUGACGGAAGGGCACCACCAGGAGUGGAACCUGCGGCUUAAUUUGACCCAACACGGGGAAACUUACUAGGUCAGGACACAGUAAGGAUUGACAGAUUGAAAGCUCUUUCUUGAUUUUGUGGAUGGUGGUGCAUGGCCGUUUUUAGUUGGUGGAUUGAUUUGUCUGGUUAAUUCCGAAAACGAACGAGACCUUAACCUGUUAACUAUGUGAUAUUAAAAUUCGUUCUCGGACUAAAUAUUUGAUACC
rnacentral:rRNA from 1 species